ensembl:lncRNA
UUUUUCUAUUUUUCUAUUCGACAAGUGGACAGUUGGAUGCCAGAGUGAUCCCCUGGUCAUGAAUGGAUGCUGGGACCUAACAGAUGCAGCAAAGGUGGGUAUCAUAACAUGUCCAGCAAUGUGAUUGCAAUGGUUUAGCAACCUCAAAAUCAUUUCAUUCACUGUUCACUUACCAUGUUCACAGCUUGUCAAGCAAGACCUCAGAAUGAAAGUGUGAAAUAUGACAAGUACCCUUGUGACACCGCCUCCAUUGUUGCCAGAGUCUCCCUUAACUCCAAUGAAAAGGACACAUCAUCACGAGGUCUCUGAUAGUGACCAGAGUUACUACCUUGAUGAAAGACUGCUUCAUCGACGACAGAUUCUCCCAGUCAACACCACCUCAUAAGAUUGCCUGCUGCAGUUGUUCAAGAGAUACCAGUUUGAGCCGAACAUGCAGCACAGAGAAGACCAACAAGGAGGCCCUCGUCGUGCAGACAUUCCUAUGAAUGUUGGCAAGUAUCCGGCCAGCGGCAACAGCUUUCACAGGCUCAUCAUUUGUAGAAAUACAGAAGGUAAACCACUUCAUUUGAUACAUUUGAUAACCCAAUUGUGAAACAAUUUAUGUAAACUGACAUUUGUUGCUUAUUUUCUACUUCUUGGGUGCAUAUAACGUCCAGGGCAUAACCUAGUCUGGUAGAACCAGCCUGAUUGCGGUGUUCAACAUUCUAUUUCACUGCACAUUUAUGAUAUCUGGAGUGAAACAGAAAGGUGAAUGAAGCGAUCAGGUUGGUUCCCCCAGGCUAAUCAUAACCAUUAUUGAUCAGUGGUGUAAAGUACUUAAGUAAAAAAAUACUUUAAAGUACUACAUAAGCAGUUUUUUUGUGGUAUCUGUACUUUAUUUAACUGUUGAUAUUUUUGACUACUUUUACUUCACUACAUUCCUAAAGAAAAUAACUCCAUAUAUUUUCCCUGACACCCAAAAGUACUCGUUACAUGUAAGAGGGCUUAGCAGGACAGGGAAAUGGUCCAGUUCACGCACUUACCAAGGGAACACGUGGUCAUCCCUACUGCCUCUGAUCUGGCGGACUCACUAAAAACAAAUGCAUAGUUUGUAAAUGAUGUCUGAGUGUUGGAGUGUCCACCUUGGCUAUCCGUACAUUUUAAAAUCAAGAACAUGGUGCCAUCUGCUUUGCUUUAAUGUAAGGGGUUUCAAAUUAUUCACACUUUUACUACUUAAGUAUAUUUUAACAGAUACAUUUACCUUUGAUACUUAAGUAUAUUUAGAAGCAAAUACUUUUACUCAAGUAGUAUUUCACUGGGUGACUUUUACUUUUACUUGAGUAACUUUCUAUUAAGGUAUCUAUACUUUUACUCAAGUAUGACAAUUGGGUACUUCUUUCACCACUGCCAUUGAUCAUGUAAAUCAGUGUUCUGUCUGUCUGUCUGGUCAGUCUGUCUGUCUGAUCAGUAUCUUUGAGGAGGGGCCAGGAGCUGAUCUAUGCUGCUAUAGCCAUCACUGGGGGCUCUGGCAAAGAACUCACCAACGUUUGUCAAAGUCCAGACUGACAGACGGGCUUGAUACCGAUGUCUCUAAAUGGAGAUAGACCUGGCAGAAGGCAUCACAUUUUUUACUAGACAACUUUUACUUAGUC